CGGGAUGUAGCGCAGCCUGGCUAGCGCACCUGCAUGGGGUGCAGGUGGUCGGAGGUUCGAAUCCUCUCAUCCCGACCA
rnacentral:tRNA from 4 species